GUGGGGAAUUUUACGCAAUGGGGGAAACCCUGACGUAGCGACACCGCGUGAGCGAAGAAGCCUUUUGGGGUGUAAAGCUCUGUCAGCUGGAACGAACACAAUGACGGUACCAGCAGAGGAAGCAUCGGCUAACUACGUGCCAGCAGCCGCGGUAAGACGUAGGAUGCAAGCGUUGUCCGGAUUCAUUGGGCGUAAAGAGUUCGUAGGUGGUCUGUUAAGUUUGGUGUUAAAGAGCGGGGCCCAACCCCGAUAGUGCACUGAAUACUGGCAGACUUGAGUGCGGUAGAGGUAAGUGGAAUUCCAAGUGUAGCGGUGAAAUGCAUAGAUAUUUGGAAGAACACCGGUGGCGUAAGCGACUUACUGGGCCGUAACUGACACUGAGGAACGAAAGCCGGGGUAGCGAAUG
rnacentral:rRNA from 1 species